rnacentral:rRNA from 1 species
GACAGAGGUGCCAAGCGUUAGGCGGAAUCACUGGGCUUAAAGCGUGUGUAGGCGGACUUGUAAGUACCUUGUGAAAUCCCACGGCUCAACCGUGGAACUGCUUGGUAUACUGCUUGUCUUGAGCCACUUAGGGGCUACCGGAACAAAUGGUGGAGCGGUGAAAUGCGUAGAUAUCGGAAGGAACACCGGUGGCGAAAGCGGCGCGCUGGACCUCUUCUGACGCUGAGGCGCGAAAGCCAGGGGAGCGAACAGG